GCAGUCCUGCGGGCAAUGCAUUAUGUCAGCGGCAGACGGGUGAGUAACGCGUGGGAACGUCCCUUGUGGUUCGGAACACCGCAGGGAAACUUCACUAAUCCCGGAUAACCCCUUACGGGGAAAAAUUUUUCGCCCAAAGAUCGGCCCGCGUCUGAUUAACUAGUUGGUGAGGGAAUGGCUCACCCAGGCGACCAUCAGUACCUGGUCCGAGAGGAUGAUCCGCCCCCUUGGGACUGAGACCCGGCCCAAACUCCUACGGGAAGCAGCAGUGGGGAAUAUUGGACAAUGGGCGCAAGCCUGAUCCACCCAUGCCGCGUGAGUGAUGAAGGCCCUCCGGUUGUGAACCUCUUUUGUGCGGGAAGAUAAUGACAGUGCCCCAGGAGUAUGCCCCGGCUGUCUUUGUGCCCCGCACCCCAGGUAAUACGAAAGGGGGCUAGCGUUGCUCCGACUCAUUGGGGGGCAAGGGUGCGUAGUCUGGUCUUCAAAGCGGGGGUGAAAUCCUGGAGCUCAACUCCUGAACUGCCCUUGGUACAGAAGACAUUGCGUUCCGGAGAGGUGAGUGGAACUGC
rnacentral:rRNA from 1 species